UGGGGAAUAUUGCACAAUGGGGGAAACCCUGAUGCAGCGACGCCGCGUGAGCGAUGAAGGCUUUCGAGUCGUAAAGCUCUGUCCUAUGAGAAGAUAAUGACGGUAUCAUAGGAGGAAGCCCCGGCUAAAUACGUGCCAGCAGCCGCGGUAAUACGUAUGGGGCGAGCGUUGUCCGGAAUUAUUGGGCGUAAAGGGUACGUAGGCGGUCUAUUAAGUCAGGUGUGAAAGCGUGAGGCUUAACCUCAUUAAGCACUUGAAACUGAUAGACUUGAGUGAAGGAGAGGAAAGUGGAAUUCCUAGUGUAGCGGUGAAAUGCGUAGAUAUUAGGAGGAAUACCGGUGGCGAAGGCGACUUUCUGGACUUUUACUGACGCUCAGGUACGAAAGCGUGGGGAGCAAACAGG
rnacentral:rRNA from 1 species